rnacentral:rRNA from 1 species
GUAAACGAUGGAUACUAGGUGUAGGAUUCGAUAGGAUUCUGUGCCGGAGCAAACGCAAUAAGUAUCCCGCCUGGGGAGUACGACCGCAAGGUUGAAACUCAAAGGAAUUGACGGGGGCCCGCACAAGCAGCGGAGCAUGUGGUUUAAUUCGAAGCAACGCGAAGAACCUUACCAAGGCUUGACAUCCUCUGACGGCUGUAGAGAUACAGCUUCCCUUCGGGGCAGAGAGACAGGUGGUGCAUGGUUGUCGUCAGCUCGUGUCGUGAGAUGUUGGGUUAAGUCCCGCAACGAGCGCAACCCUUAUCAUUAGUUGCCAGCACGCAAAGGUGGGAACUCUAAUGAGACUGCCGGGGACAACUCGGAGGAAGGUGGGGACGACGUCAAAUCAUCAUGCCCCUUAUGUCUUGGGCUACACACGUGCUACAAUGGCCGGUACAAAGGGCAGCGAAACUGUAAGGUGAAGCGAAUCUCAAGAAGCCGGUCCCAGUUCGGAU